rnacentral:rRNA from 1 species
GACAGAGGGGGCAAGCGUUGCUCGGAAUCACUGGGCGUAAAGGGCGCGUAGGCGGCCACCGCAAGUCGACUGUGAAAUCUCCGGGCUUAACCCGGAAAGGUCAGCCGAUACUGCGGGGCUAGAGUGCAGAAGGGGCAACUGGAAUUCUCGGUGUAGCGGUGAAAUGCGUAGAUAUCGAGAGGAACACCUGCGGCGAAGGCGGGUUGCUGGGCUGACACUGACGCUGAUGUGCGAAAGCUAGGGGAGCGAACGGG